AAACCAAAGCUGGCGACCGGCGCACGGGUGAGUAACACGUAUCCAACCUGCCUCAUACUCGGGGAUAGCCUUUCGAAAGAAAGAUUAAUAUCCGAUAGCAUAUAUUUCCCGCAUGGGUUUUAUAUUAAAGAAAUUCGGUAUGAGAUGGGGAUGCGUUCCAUUAGUUUGUUGGGGGGUAACGGCCCACCAAGACUACGAUGGAUAGGGGUUCUGAGAGGAAGGUCCCCCACAUUGGAACUGAGACACGGUCCAA
rnacentral:rRNA from 1 species